rnacentral:rRNA from 1 species
UACAGAGGUCUCAAGCGUUUGUUCGGAUUCAUUGGGCGUAAAGGGUGCGUAGGUGGCGCGGUAAGUCGGGUGUGAAAUUUCGGAGCUUAACUCCGAAACUGCAUUCGAUACUGCCGUGCUUGAGGACUGGAGAGGAGACUGGAAUUUACGGUGUAGCAGUGAAAUGCGUAGAGAUCGUAAGGAAGACCAGUGGCGAAGGCGGGUCUCUGGACAGUUCCUGACACUGAGGCACGAAGGCCAGGGGAGCAAACGGG